UUUCCGUAGGUGAACCUGCGGAAGGAUCAUUAUCGAGUUUUGACUGGGUUGUAGCUGGCCUUCCGAGGCAUGUGCACGCCCUGCUCAUCCACUCUACACCUGUGCACUUACUGUGGGUAUCAGAUCGUGAAGCGUGCUCUUACCGGAGCUUGUGAAGCGUGUCUGUGCCUGCGUUUAUCACAAACACUAUAAAGUAUCAGAAUGUGUAUUACGAUGUAACGCAUCUAUAUACAACUUUCAGCAACGGAUCUCUUGGCUCUC
rnacentral:misc_RNA from 1 species